UUGUGCCAGAUAUGGCUUCCAUGUCAAGGGAUGAAAAGAGUUGCCUUUUCAAAAAUUAUAUUUGGCAAUGGUAAAAUGUUCUGUUAGAGGAGAUCUUAGACAUGCAUGUAAUCUGCUGGAAUGAUUGAUCGCUAUAUUCUUGGAAUAGAUCACUCUAUGCAAACCUGUAUAUAGAAAUAUGAAGGAAUGCAAUUGAUCCAACAGUGACACAGUUUCUGAGAGUAUGCCCUCUUGGUGUCAUGUUGCUUUUGAUCCUGAAGGCAUUGUAAGG